CCGAGGUUGUCUUUUCAUCCUCUUAAUGAUUGAAGGAAUCAAAGAUAAUUGUUUGUCCCUUAUAUCAUCCUCCUUCUUAGAGGUGACCUUUCUCUUUUUCUCCAUCCUUGGUUUUUCUUCCCAUAUGACUUCUACCUCCUCUUCAUCAUCCCCCUCCUCCCCUUCGUCCUCUUCUUUAUUUGCAAUGCCCUCCUGUUUGAGCAAUGAAUUUAGGAGGUUCUCAGCUAUGACAAGUUUUUUCUUAACCUCCUCAAGUUUAGUCUUCAUCUACGCAUAAGUUGCACAGCAUAUUUUUGGAUCCGAGGAUGCUUCUAUUGGACUGAUUAGCCACUGCUCCUAUGAU
rnacentral:lncRNA from 1 species